AUUGAACGCUGGCGGCAGGCCUAACACAUGCAAGUCGAGCGGAGCGGCGGACGGGUGAGUAAUGCUUAGGAAUCUGCCUAUUAGUGGGGGACAACAUCUCGAAAGGGAUGCUAAUACCGCAUACUAAUCGAGCAGCCUAAGGCGGAUUAGUUAGUUGGUGGGGUAAAGGCUCACCUAGGCGACGAUCCCUAGCUGGUCUGAGAGGAUGACCAGCCACACUGGAACUGAGACACGGUCCAGACGCCUACGGGAGGCAGCAGUGGGGAAUAUUGCACAAUGGGCGAAAGCCGGAUGCAGCCAGGCCGCGUGUGUGAAGAAGGCCUUCGGGUUGUAAAGCACUUGCAGCGGGGAGGCGUUACCCGCAGAAGAAGCACCGGCUAACUCCGUGCCAGCAGCCGCGGUAAUAC
rnacentral:rRNA from 1 species